GGAACAGUAGUGGAAGGCAAAGAGGGUAUCAAUAGUGGAUCCAGGAUUUGAAAUCAAUCGGGUAUGAAUUCAAGCAAUAUAAUCCAACCAAUAAACCAUGAAUAAGUUAUAUGUUUCCCUUAUUACAGCCAGUAUAACAAAACAGAAUUUAUUUUCCAAGGAAAUUUGCAACUUCACAGGUGUGUUCACCCAUUACUUGAAACGUUUGAUGACAUAUUCAUCUCUAGUAUGACAUAAUAAAAGGUGGACCUCAGUUGAUCAUGGGGGACGCGAAUGCUUCCACACCCAAAAGGAAAAUUAGUGCACAAACACCACCAACAAAAAGGAAACAUGCCCAGAGUUAUGCAGCCCAAGGUCCCAGGAUCGGAGUUAUACGUUGACUGGUCGAGGCAGCAGCCUGGCAUCAGCACACAUGGAACAAGGUAUGGUGCUC
rnacentral:lncRNA from 1 species